rnacentral:lncRNA from 1 species
CAUUUUCUAAUUGACAAAAUGUGAAAAACAAAAAUUUAUCAUAAAUAUCUUGGCUGGUCAAACAGUUUGAAUUGAUCCAGAGGAAGUGAUUUCCACAGAGAACGUUUUGCACGUAUGGCCGAAAUCUCACACAGUCAAAUAAUUUGCUUUAUCAUCCAUCUCUAGAUCACAUUUAGCUUUGUUAGAAUAUCUACUGUAUAUGCAGUGAUGAAGUCAUAUGAAUCUAUAAAUCUGUUGUGAUGUUUUAGUUGCUUUGGCAGGGCAGUGUUGUUUUAUAUCUGUGUGUGAUACUAUGAAAUCUAGGGUGAAGUGGGACAAAGGGGGGAGCCUGGAGAGAUGGGGUACCAAGGUGAUAAGGUAAAGCCAACAUCUACAAAUGCGUUUCUUCUCCAUUUAAUUAGACCUCAAAUAAUUUACCAGUCAUUCCUCAACUCCAAGCACAUUACUUAAGCUUAAUCUAUGGAAUAGGUAGAAGUUAAUAUCUUCAUUUGCUAUUUGCAAAUUGUUAAUUGCACAUUAUUGUAUGAUAAUGUUUGUGUAUGUAUGUAAAUAAAUGAUAUUAAUGAAAGAGUAUCUGCCUCUUUCAGGGAGCUCUUGGUGCACCUGGACCUCCUGGGCCCAAAGGGAUGCCAGGACCAUCGGGUAAAAUUGGAGAGACGGGGGCUCAAGGACCACCUGGGCCUCCAGGACCAGAAGUAAGUAGCAAAUCCAUGUAUUUCUCUAUUCUGCAUAUUUUGCUAUAUUUCUUUAGCCAAAACUUCAACCAGUUUGACUCAGAGAUAAAUACCUGGAUACUGAACAGUGCAACAAGUCUUCCAGAUUUCUUGUAUUUCCUGCAAGACAAUCACGUGUAAAUUAAAUAUGUGUUCAAACAAAUAAGUAAACAAGAAAACAAGAAUUCAUUCACAUUUUAGUUUAACAAAUUUCAGCUCACCGCUGUUUUUCCACAUAAAUAUAACACAAACUAAACAUUAUUAGAACAUUCUACCACAAUGUAUGGUCACGUGUCUUUGCAAAAUUUAAAGUGUUUCCACACAUUGGACUGCGAUGAUGGCUUGAUCAGUUUUUGCUGCCAUCACAUGUGUGGGUUUUCUGAUGUGGGUUCACUUGGUCAUUUUUAUGUUUAUAGUACAUUAAAUCUACCAUGUCUAAAUUCAUAAAAUAUUUUCCAAUAUCAAUAUAAUCAAUUUAAUUCAUUCUGAAACAACCUUUAAAUGGUAUUGGUUGAUUUAAUUAGUUUCUGCCUCAGCCAGAUCGAUCUGAUUGGAUGCUAGUAAUAGAAAUCGAUUCAUCAAUUAAUUGGUUAAUUAUUACAGCCCUACUCCUUACCCUUGCAUUACUGUUGUGUUUGGUCAAAACACCCAUACUGUAAUCAGUCUUUUGAUUACGUUUUCUUGUUGGUUUCAAUUUGUUUAUGCAUGUAACACUAUACACCGCCCAAAAGGUUACUUGUGAUUGGUCGAUUUCUAAUAUGUGACACUCAUCUCCAUGGACUUAAAGACUUAUGUUUGUUCAAACACACCAGGAAGACAUUAGACAUUAUAAAACAUCAUCCACU